rnacentral:rRNA from 1 species
AAUAGAUACCCUGGUAGUCCACCCCGUAAACGUUGGGAACUAGUUGUGGGGUCCUUUCCACGGAUUCCGUGACGCAGCUAACGCAUUAAGUUCCCCGCCUGGGGAGUACGGCCGCAAGGCUAAAACUCAAAGGAAUUGACGGGGACCCGCACAAGCGGCGGAGCAUGCGGAUUAAUUCGAUGCAACGCGAAGAACCUUACCAAGGCUUGACAUACACCAGAACACCCUAGAAAUAGGGGACUCUUUGGACACUGGUGAACAGGUGGUGCAUGGUUGUCGUCAGCUCGUGUCGUGAGAUGUUGGGUUAAGUCCCGCAACGAGCGCAACCCUCGUUCUAUGUUGCCAGCACGUAAUGGUGGGAACUCAUGGGAUACUGCCGGGGUCAACUCGGAGGAAGGUGGGGAUGACGUCAAAUCAUCAUGCCCCUUAUGUCUUGGGCUUCACGCAUGCUACAAUGGCCGGUACAAAGGGCUGCAAUACCGCGAGGUGGAGCGAAUCCCAAAAAGCCGGUCCCAGUUCGGAUUGAGGUCUGCAACUCGACCUC